rnacentral:rRNA from 1 species
CGUUUAGGGGUAAACCUGAGAAACCCGAAAGGUCGAAGGGAGAAAUUCAUUCGCGUUUCGUAAUUGACGGCUGAUAGGAUUGUGUGACGAAAAUUGUUUCGGCAAUUUGCGCACCGCUUGUUUGUCGAUUCAGUUACGAACGUGUGCACUUUUCUCCUGGUAGGACGUCGCGAUCCGUUGGGUGUCGGUCUACGGUACGUGGUGGAGCCCAUUUGGCCAUUGGUCGAAUGGACCCACGUUAUUUCCUGACCGACUCGCUCGACGGUAUAAAAUUGUGGUUCGAGGCCGCUUCUUUGUAUAAGCGUCUGGCAUAUAGCAAGCGCGUUAGCUGGUUCGACAAUCGGACUURGUGCCGAUUUCGAUCACUAAUGACUGUUGGCUAUAUUGUUCUUGGACAGACCUCGUAACCGAUCGGCGACGCUAUAGCUUUGGGUAAUUUCAGGACCCGUCUUGAAACACGGACCAAGGAGUCUAGCAUGUGCGCAAGUCAUUGGGAUUAAUUAAACCCAAAGGCGCAAUGAAAGUAAAGAUCUUCCUUGUGAAGAUCGAGGGAAGACGAUUGAUUAUUUGAAAAGGUAAUCAUUCUGCAUUCCCGGGGCGUCUCAUUCUCAUUGCGAGAAGAGGCGCACCAUGAGCGUACACGCUGGGACCCGAAAGAUGGUGAACUAUGCCUGGUCAGGACGAAGUCAGGGGAAACCCUGAUGGAGGUCCGUAGCGAUUCUGACGUGCAAAUCGAUCGUCGGAACUGGGUAUAGGGGCGAAAGACUAAUCGAACCAUC